GCCCAGCCGUAAACUUUUAUCUACAUCUCAAUCGCCAGGGAACUACGAGCUAAGCUUAAAACCCAAAGGACUUGACGGUACCCCAUAUCCCCCUAGAGGAGCCUGUCCUAUAAUCGAUAAUCCACGUUUAACCUCACCAUUUUUAGUUAGUCAGCCUGUAUACCUCCGUCGUCAGCUUACCACGUGAGCGAGAAUUAGUGAGCUUAAUGUUUUUCACCAACACGUCAGGUCAAGGUGCAGCAAAUGAAAUGGGAAGAGAUGGGCUACACUUUCUACUAUAGAAAAAACGAAAAACUACUUAUGAAACCUAGUUAGAAGGCGGAUUUAGCAGUAAAAAGGAAUCAGCACGUCCAUUUUAACUCGGCACUGGGGUG
rnacentral:rRNA from 1 species